rnacentral:lncRNA from 1 species
AAACUGACACACAAAUUGAACCACCAUAGUCCUUGUCAACGUUUUGGUCUUGAAGGUUUAUGGACAUCAGGUGGGGCCCGGAGGGGAAAAAUAUGUGCACCUUCAGAAGACUUUUCCAGACUUUAACGUGAAGGGCUCUUUUUUUUUUUUUUUUUUUUUCCUAUUCCUGUUUCGCAGGUGAAGUGGUGAGCUCCAGGGAGCCACAGAACCAGCCCACAAAGACCAAAGAGCCAGCCCGCCCACCCGUGAUCUAAGCAACAGGAAUUCUCACGCUCCCUUGUGGUCCAGUGACUUCACUUGGCAGCGUCCAGAUCAGGACUCAGCGUCAAAGGCCGAGGGGAACCUCACCUUUCUCCACUGAGAACGUAAAAUUGACGCCUUGCCACCAUUUUGACCAAAUGUGGACUUCACAUUCCUCAGUCGGAGAAAAAACUUUGUAUUCUAUGAUAAACCACAACAAACCACAACUCUGUCAAGCACUGUUCCUCUAUCCUGACCCUUUAUCUGGUGAGUUGCUGACUCUGUAGUGAAAAGAAACUUAUUUCUGACUAUAGUACCGAUGGCGGUGGACGGUAUGAUAAUCAUGUGAGGAAUUGCUGUCUUUCUACCAAUGAAAUAAGGAGCAGACCAACUUUCACUUUGCUGUUUUCCUUUGACUUCUGUGUGUCUUAAAACUCUUACCCAGCAUUUCUGAGUUUAGAGUUAAGAAAAGAGGACAAUUCCUAUGUCCAGGGCUCAUUUAAAGGCUGAGUUUUCAAAGAGGGUCAGGGGUAUGAGGAACGGCAAGAAUGUUAGCCUUGUUUGAGUAGAGCAUCUGGAUGAUAAACAGGAGUGGUAGAAAGGGACCCAUAAGGUAGGGUCUUUUCUGUCAGAACUGUGGCCAUAUUCUGGGUCUGGACUGGGGCUUCUCUCGGGCCCAGCCUGGGCUUCCAUAUCUAUUAAGCAGAGUCACCUGGUACCACCUCCCUUCCCUUUGUCUUAGAAUGGUUUUGCUUUUGCUGUAGCUGAUGCUUACGAGCUGUGCCUUUCUGGCCUCUGGUUACAUCAUGUCCGCAGGAAGCAUCCUGCCAUGUGCCU